rnacentral:tRNA from 1 species
GCCGCCGUAGCUCAGUGGUAGAGCAGCCGCCUUGUAAGCGGCAGGUCGUCUGUUCGAUUCAGACCGGCGGCACCA